AGGUUGCAGCUGUGUACUGUGGUCGUAUAUCCAAGCUAAGGGAAUGUCGCUGCAUCAAUCAGUCCCCAUGACAGCACUCUCCUCUGUGUGUGGGAGUACACCAGUAAUAAAUGUUCCUUCCGAGGGGUCCCCUGGCACCUCUCCUCCAUUUCUCCUUAUUUGAUUGCAGCCUGACACUUCUGCCUCUUUUCCCUCUGGGCAUAUCUUCCUGGGUCUUUGCAGGUCAUGGCUAGACUGUUGGAAGUGUCUGUCCACUGCAAGAGAUUUGAAGUAACAAAAUGGCCUCCUUAAUCAGGAAUCAGUUUCCAUCACAUUCUUGGGAGCUAA